rnacentral:rRNA from 1 species
GAUCAUGGCUCAGGAUGAACGCUGGCGGCGUGCCUAACACAUGCAAGUCGAACGGACUUACAUUGAAGCCUAGCGAUAUGUAAGUUAGUGGCGGACGGGUGAGUAACGCGUGGGUAACCUGCCUUGUACUGGGGGACAACAGUUGGAAACGACUGCUAAUACCGCAUAAGCGCACAGCUUCGCAUGAAGCAGUGUAGAAAACGUCCGGUAGUACAGUAUCGGACCGUGUCUGGUAUUAGGUCGG